CCUACGGGUGGCAGCAGUCGAGAAUCAUUCACAAUGGGGGAAACCCUGAUGGUGCGACGCCGCGUGGGGGAAUGAAGGUCUUCGGAUUGUAAACCCCUGUCAUGUGGGAGCAAAUUAAAAAGAUAGUACCACAAGAGGAAGAGACGGCUAACUCUGUGCCAGCAGCCGCGGUAAUACAGAGGUCGCAAGCGUUGUUCGGAAUCACUGGGCGUAAGGCGUGCGUAGGCUGUUUCGUAAGUCGUGUGUGAAAGGCGCGGGCUCAACCCGCGGGCGGCACAUGAUACUGCGAGACUAGAGUAAUGGAGGGGGAACCGGAAUUCUCGGUGUAGCAGUGAAAUGCGUAGAUAUCGAGAGGAACACUCGUGGCGAAGGCGGGUUCCUGGACAUUAACUGACGCUGAGGCACGAAGGCCAGGGGAGCGAAAGGGAUUAGAUACCCCUGUAGUC
rnacentral:rRNA from 1 species